ensembl:snRNA
AACCUCCUUUUCUUGGGGUUGUGCAACUGCCCAAUGAGUGCCUAGUGAGGGCAGUACUACUAAUGCUACACUACACACCUUUGUCAACUAGAGCUUUGCUUUAACUUGGUGCAAUUUUUGGAAAA